AGAACGAACGCUGGCGGCAUGCCUAAUACAUGCAAGUCGAACGAACUCUUCGGAGUUAGUGGCGCACGGGUGCGUAACGCGUGGGAAUCUGCCCCUUGGUUCGGAAUAACAGUUGGAAACGACUGCUAAUACCGGAUGAUGACGAAAGUCCAAAGAUUUAUCGCCAAGGGAUGAGCCCGCGUAGGAUUAGCUAGUUGGUGAGGUAAGGCUCACCAAGGCAACGAUCCUUAGCUGGUCUGAGAGGAUGAUCAG
rnacentral:rRNA from 1 species